UGGGGGUCCUAUAGGGCCCUGUGGGGCUCCAUUAGGUCCCUAUAGGGCUCUAUUGGGGCUCUAUGGGUGGUAUUGGGGCCCUGUGGGGCGCUAUAAGGGCCCUAGGGGGUGGUAUUAGGGCUCUGUUGGGGUCCUAUAGGGCCCUGUGGGGCUCCACUGGGUUCCUCUAGGGCUCUAUCGGGGCUCUAUGGGGCGCUAUAAGGACCCUAGGGGGUGGUACUGGGGCUCUAUUGGGGUCCUAUAGGGCCCUGUGGGGCUCUGUUAGGUCCAUAUAGGGCUCUAUUGAGGCUCUAUGGGUGAUAUUGGGGCCCUGUGGGGCGCUAUAAGGGCCCUAGGGGGUGGGAUUGGGGCCCUACGGGGCGCUAUAAGGGCCCUAGGGGGUGGUAUUGGGGCUCUAUUGGGGUCCUAUAGGGCCCUGUGGGGCUCCAUUAGGUUCCUCUAGGGCUCUAUUGGGGCUCUAUGGGUGACAUUGGGGCCCUAUGGGGUGCCAUAAGGGCCCUAGGGGGUGGGAUUGGGGCCCUGUGGGGGGCUAUAAGGGCCCUAGGGGGUGGGAUUGGGGCUCUGUUGGGGUCCUAUAGGGCCCUGUGGGGCUCUGUUAGGUCCCUAUAGGGCUCUACUGGGGCUCUAUGGGGCACUAUGGAGCACUGUAAGGGCCCUAGGGGAUGAUACUGGGGCUCUAUGGGGUGCUAUGGGGCGCUGUAAGGUCCCUAGGGGGUGAUGUUGGGGCCCUAUGGGGUGCUGUAAGGUCCCUAUGGGGCACUGUAAGGGCCCUAUGGGGUGCUGUAAGGUCCCUAUGGGGUGCUAUAAGGGCCCUAGGGGGCACUGUAAGGUCGCUAUGGGGCUCUGGGGGGCUCUAUCAGGACCUUAUAGGGCUCUAUGAUUGCCCUAUGGGUGAUACUGGGGCCCUAUGGGGUGCUAUGGGGCACUGUGGGGUGCUAUAAGGGCCCUAGGGGGUGAUAUUGGGGCCCUAGGGGGUGCUAUAAGGGCCCUCUGGGGCACUACAAGGUCCUUAUGGGGCUUUAUUGGGGCCCUAUAGGGCUCUGUUAGUGCUCUCUGGGGCUCCGUUAGGUCCCUAUGGGGCUCUAUUGGGGCCCUAUGGGGCACUAUAAGGGCCCUAAGGGGUGAUGCUGGGGCCCCAUAGGGCUCUAUUAGUGCUCUGCGGGGCGAUAUUGGGGCCCUAUGGGGUGCUAUAAGGACCCUGUGGGGCUGCCUGGGGACUCUAUGGGGUCCCUGGGGGGCUCUGUGGGGCUCCUGGGAGCUCUGGGAGGGCGUACAGGGCUCUAUAGGGUCUUCUUGGGUCUCCGUGGGGACCCGUAGGCCUCUAUAGCGAACCCUGGGGGACUCUCCGGGGGCUCUGUGGGGCCUAUAGGGCCCUAUAAGGCCCCUGGGGCCUCUGUGGGGCUGCCAGGGGACGCUGCAGUGGCUCCUUGGGGCCCUAUAGGGCUCUGUGGGGUCCCUGGGGGGGCCCUAUGCGGCUGCCUGGGGUCUCUAUGGGGGUCUAUAGGGCUCUAUGGGGUCCCUGUGGGGCUGCCUGUGGG
rnacentral:lncRNA from 1 species